GCCCACGUGGACAAAUGGCAAGUUGCGGGACUGGAAAUCCCGAGUUCCCGGUUCGAUCCCGGGCGUGGGCU